AGUGAACGCUGGCGGUAGGCCUAACACAUGCCAGUCGAACGGCAGCACAGUAAGAGCUUGCUCUUACGGGUGGCGAGUGGCGGACGGGUGAGGAAUACAUCGGAAUCUACUUUUUCGUGGGGGAUAACGUAGGGAAACUUACGCUAAUACCGCAUACGACCUACGGGUGAAAGCAGGGGAUCUUCGGACCUUGCGCGAUUGAAUGAGCCGAUGUCGGAUUAGCUAGUUGGCGGGGUAAAGGCCCACCAAGGCGACGAUCCGUAGCUGGUCUGAGAGGAUGAUCCGCCACACUGGACCUGAGACACGGUCCAGACUCCUACGGGAGGCAGCAGUGGGGAAUAUUGGACAAUGGGCGCAAGCCUGAUCCAGCCAUACCGCGUGGGUGAAGAAGGCCUUCGGGUUGUAAAGCCCUUUUGUUGGGAAAGAAAAGCAGCAGGUUAAUACCCCGCUGUUCUGACGGUACCCAAAGAAUAAGCACCGGCUAACUUCGUG
rnacentral:rRNA from 1 species